rnacentral:rRNA from 2 species
UGGGGAAUAUUGCACAAUGGGCGCAAGCCUGAUGCAGCCAUGCCGCGUGUAUGAAGAAGGCCUUCGGGUUGUAAAGUACUUUCAGUCGGGAGGAAGGUGGUAAGGUUAAUAACCUUGGCAAUUGACGUUACCGACAGAAGAAGCACCGGCUAACUCCGUGCCAGCAGCCGCGGUAAUACGGAGGGUGCAAGCGUUAAUCGGAAUUACUGGGCGUAAAGCGCACGCAGGCGGUUGAUUGAGUCAGAUGUGAAAUCCCCGGGCUUAACCCGGGAAUUGCAUCUGAUACUGGUCAGCUAGAGUCUUGUAGAGGGGGGUAGAAUUCCAUGUGUAGCGGUGAAAUGCGUAGAGAUGUGGAGGAAUACCGGUGGCGAAGGCGGCCCCCUGGACAAAGACUGACGCUCAGGUGCGAAAGCGUGGGGAGCAAACAGG